CCUACGGGAGGCAGCAGUGGGGAAUAUUGCACAAUGGGGGAAACCCUGAUGCAGCGACGCCGCGUGAGUGAAGAAGUAAUUCGUUAUGUAAAGCUCUAUCAGCAGGGAAGCAAAUGACGGUACCUGAGUAAGAAGCCCCGGCUAACUACGUGCCAGCAGCCGCGGUAAUACGUCGGGGGCAAGCGUUAUCCGGAUUUACUGGGUGUAAAGGGAGCGUAGACGGGAGUGCAAGUCUGGAGGGAAAGGGGGGGGCUCAACCCCCGGACUGCUCUGGAAACUGGACGGCUGGAGUGCAGGAGAGGUAAGUGGAAUGCCUGGUGUAGCGGUGAAAUGCGUAGAUAUUAGGCGGAACACCAGUGGCGAAGGCGGCUUACUGGACUGUAACUGACGUUGAGGCUCGAAAGCGUGGGGAGCAAACAGGAUUAGAUACCCUUGUAGUC
rnacentral:rRNA from 1 species